UGGGGAAUUUUGGACAAUGGGCGAAAGCCUGAUCCAGCAAUGCCGCGUGUGUGAAGAAGGCCUUCGGGUUGUAAAGCACUUUUGUCCGGAAAGAAAUCCUUGGCUCUAAUACAGUCGGGGGAUGACGGUACCGGAAGAAUAAGCACCGGCUAACUACGUGCCAGCAGCCGCGGUAAUACGUAGGGUGCAAGCGUUAAUCGGAAUUACUGGGCGUAAAGCGUGCGCAGGCGGUUUGCUAAGACCGAUGUGAAAUCCCCGGGCUCAACCUGGGAACUGCAUUGGUGACUGGCAGGCUAGAGUAUGGCAGAGGGGGGUAGAAUUCCACGUGUAGCAGUGAAAUGCGUAGAGAUGUGGAGGAAUACCGAUGGCGAAGGCAGCCCCCUGGGCCAAUACUGACGCUCAUGCACGAAAGCGUGGGGAGCAAACAGGAUUAGAUACCCUGGUAGUCCACGCCCUAAAACGAUGUCAACUAGUUGUUGGGGGAUUCAUUUCCUUAGUAACGUAGCUAACGCGUGAAGUUGACCGCCUGGGGAGUACGGUCGCAAGAUUAAAACUCAAAUGAAUUGACGGGGUCAUAGCUG
rnacentral:rRNA from 1 species